rnacentral:tRNA from 1 species
AGGUAAGAUGGCCGAAGCAGGCGCCGGAUUGUAGCUCCGUUCAUAGAGGUUUAAGUCCUCUUCUUUCCA